rnacentral:rRNA from 1 species
UACGUAGGUGGCGAGCGUUAUCCGGAAUGAUUGGGCGUAAAGGGUGCGUAGGCGGACUGUCAAGUCAGCGGUAAAAUACGGGGGCUCAACCUCCGCCCGCCGUUGAAACUGACGGUCUUGAGUGGGCGAGAAGUAUGCGGAAUGCGUGGUGUAGCGGUGAAAUGCAUAGAUAUCACGCAGAACUCCGAUUGCGAAGGCAUCUCACGAAUCCGCGAUUGACGCUGAUGCACGAAAGCGUGGGUAUCAAACAGG